AUUGAACGCUGGCGGCAGGCCUAACACAUGCAAGUCGAGCGUGCGGAGGACGGGUGAGUAAUGUCUGGGAACCUGCCUGAUGGCUGGGGAUCACUACUGGAAACGGUAGCUAAAACCGCAUACCAUCAGAUGUGCGCAGAUGGGAUUAGCUAGUAGGUGGGGUAACGGCUCACCUAGGCGACGAUCCCUAGCUGGGCUGAGAGGAUGACCAGCCACACUGGAACUGAGACACGGUCCAGACUCCGACGGGAGGCAGCAGUGGGGAAUAUUCCACAAUGGGCGAAAGCCUGAUGCAGCCAUGCCGCGUGAGUGAAGAAGGCCUUCGGAUUGUAAAGCUCUUUCGUCAGGGAGGCGUUACCCGCAGAGGAAGCACCGGCUAACUCCGUGCCAGCAGCCGCGGUAAUUC
rnacentral:rRNA from 1 species